UGCUCAAAGCAACGAAUUGAAGGGCUCCCUGACGGUCUCCAAGUUGGACCAACGGAAAGAGGAAGAAUGGGGUGAACCGGCCGAACAGCUUGUUCCCAUCCCGAUAACGGAGAAUCCCGAACGAGUGGUCUGGGUCGGGUCUCAAUUACCUGACCCCGAGCAACGGCAGUUAGUGGAGCUGCUGAAGGCCAAUGCCGACGUAUUCGCUUG
rnacentral:lncRNA from 1 species